AUAUUCACCUGGCAGGGGAGAUACUAUGAUCACAAAAGUUGAUUUUGCAGGGCAAGGCUUAUCCAUUGCUCUCCAGAUGCGCUGAUCCUUACAAUUUCUCUAAAUGUCAUAGAUUCUACUGUGUAAUUUGUGCAGUAGUGGGGUCUGUGUUCCUGCUCCCCCUGU
rnacentral:snRNA from 1 species